rnacentral:rRNA from 1 species
CAGUCGCCACGGUAAUACGGAGGGAGCUAGCGUUGUUCGGAAUUACUGGGCGUAAAGCGCGCGUAGGCGGUUACUCAAGUCAGAGGUGAAAGCCCGGGGCUCAACCCCGGAACUGCCUUUGAAACUAGGUAACUAGAAUCUUGGAGAGGUCAGUGGAAUUCCGAGUGUAGAGGUGAAAUUCGUAGAUAUUCGGAAGAACACCAGUGGCGAAGGCGACUGACUGGACAAGUAUUGACGCUGAGGUGCGAAAGCGUGGGGAGCAAACAGGAUUAGAUACCCCCGUAGUCCCUGUCUCUUAUAC